CAGGAAGUGUGUCUCUUUUCCCCUUCGCUCUUGCUCCAGUGGCAUGAUGUGAUCCACCGGCAAGGAGGGACGUCAAUAAGGCGUCUGAUAAGAUAAGUCUUAUAAAAUAUAUAGGUUUAUGAUAGUUCAGACUGAGCUAACAGAUGAGAAUCCUAGUCAUUGGCCAAGCAGCAUUGUACCUAAUAUAAGUUUCUGUGUAUUCAUUUGGGCCCUAACUCAGGCAGGCGACUGGCGUAAAGCUCACAAGUGGCCAUGAGGCUCAGGCAGCUUUUGGCAGAAAGAGUUAUCAUAACAAAUGAUACUUGAGUAAAGGCUUCUAUGUGAAUACUCAAAAUACUUAUAUUUCCAAAGGAGAUGGUAAUUUUUAUAUCAGUCAAUAGUGAAUGGAUAGAAAAUCGGAGCACAGAUACAACAGAAUCAGUCAAAAAAUAAAGCAGAAUUAAUAAAGUACUAAUACAUGCUACAACAUGGCUGAAAUUCAAAAAAAUAUUACGUUAAAAAGGCAGCCAUGAAGAAAACAUAUUUGUAUGAUUUCAUUUAUAUGUAGUGUCCAGAAACAACAUCAGUAAUUACUUGAAGCUGAGGAAGAUUAACUAUAAAAUAAGUGAAAUGGGUGUGGAAUGAUAGAAACAUUUUAAGAUAGGACUGUAGUGAUGGUUUAGAAACAAUAAAAUCAUUUAAUUGUUCACAUGAAGUAUACAACAAAAUGGAUGAGAUUGCCAGCACUUGGAAAGGGUGGGCAGAGGCAGCUAGAUCUCUGAGUUCAAGGCCUGUCUGGUCCAUGAAGUAAGUUCCAGGACAGCCAGGGCUACACAGAGAAACCAUGUCUCAAUAAACAAAACUCAAAACCAAAACCAAAACAAGAAUUGGACCAAUGAGAAAUGAAUCCCAAACAUUUUCCUCCCAUUAAAAGGAUACUGUUUGCUGAUAGAGCUCUGCUACCCAAAGGGUUGGAGCUUUGGUACAUGAAUGAACUUGCUAACACAUAGAAACAACUCAGCUAGUGGUAUUACAAUUGCAAGAGAACUAUUUAAUGCCAUUGUCCACUUUAUGGAAACACAGAGCUAAACAAAAGCAUCACUACACUUGUCCUCUCAGGACUUACACUUUGCUGUUGGAAAUAGCCAAUAACCAACCACAGAGGCUGGCUGGCCUUGCAUGUCAACGCGUACCACCUUUCUUCUUCCCUAGGUUCACUUACCAUUACAUCUCUGGUUGUUGUUUGAGGAGUGGGUGAAGCCAAGGCUUCCUGAUAAUGUCAGACCUGAGGCCAAAUGCAGACCCCCUGAAGUACAAUCUCACAGUCUAACUUGCAUACCCUUCCUGCGUGGGGUCUGAUUUCAUUUGGGUUACACUCAAGUAGAUACAGAGAGCAUUUGCCUACUGCAAAUGGUUCCUACCUUUUGCCCAUUGAAAUGCUCUCAGGUCAGAUAUGACUGUGGACAACUGGAGCUUACUCUGCUAUGAGCUUAUGUGCAUUUAUGAAUACUAUGUGCAGAACAAGAUUCAGAGAACUGUCCCAAUGUGGGGCAGAGAAACUAGUAAUUUCUACUGGCCUCCCGCCCUUCUGGGGCUGAAGGCUGCUUCUGGAAUCAUUAACCCACAAAGCUUGAACUUGUCAAAUAAGGUCCUUUAUCUGGAAAGGAGUGUGGGGAGAGACUUGCUGAUGUGUCAAGCUGAGCAGCUUUCCAUAGAAAGGUAAAACAAACCCUGAAUUAUGCUGAAGCAGAUGCCUUUUGGAAAGCUGUGAAGACAAAAAUGGCCCCUUGGCUUCCCAUGUGACACGCUGGCAUUUCUUGGUGACAGCUCUCAGGUACCUGCCUAUCAGUCUCCCUGACCCAACCAUAUAUCCCUUGAGUAGACACAGACUGGAUCUUCUGGCCUCCACACUGUCCCUGUGUUUCAGCUCAGAGUACUGUAAACUUUUCUAGAAGG
rnacentral:lncRNA from 1 species